rnacentral:rRNA from 1 species
GACACGGACCAGACUCCUACGGGAGGCAGCAGUAAGGAAUAUUGGUCAAUGGGGGCAACCCUGAACCAGCCAUGCCGCGUGCAGGAUGACGGCCCUAUGGGUUGUAAACUGCUUUUGUACCAGAGAAAACCCUUCCACGUGUGCGAGGUUGAUAGUAUGGUAAGAAUAAGCAUCGGCUAACUUCGUGCCAGCAGCCGCGGUAAGACGAAGGAUGCAAGCGUUAUCCGGAUUCAUUGGGUUUAAAGGGAGCGUAGGCGGUCUUGUAAGUCAGUGGUGAAAUCUCCUCGCUUAACGAGGAAACUGCCAUUGAUACUGUAGGACUUGAGUAUAGUUGCCGUGGGCGGAAUAUGACAUGUAGUGGUGAAAUACUUAGAUAUGUCAUAGAACACCGAUUGCGAAGGCAGCUAACGAAACUAUAACUGACGCUGAGGCACGAAAGUGCGGGGAUCAAACAGGAUUAGAUACCCUGGUAGUCCGCACCGUAAACGAUGAUUACUCGUUGUUGGCAAUAUGACCGUCAGCGACCAAGCGAAAGCGAUAAGUAAUCCACCUGGGGAGUACGCCGGCAACGGUGAAACUCAAAGGAAUUGACGGGGGCCCGCACAAGCGGAGGAGCAUGUGGUUUAAUUCGAUGAUACGCGAGGAACCUUACCAGGGCUUGAAAGUUAGUGACCGCUCCUGAAAGGGAGCUUCCCGCAAGGGCACGAAACUAGGUGCUGCAUGGCUGUCGUCAGCUCGUGCCGUGAGGUGUUGGGUUAAGUCCCGCAACGAGCGCAACCCCUAUUGUUAGUUACCAGCGAGUAAUGUCGGGAACUCUAACGAAACUGCCCGUGCAAACGGUGAGGAAGGUGGGGACGACGUCAAGUCAUCACGGCCCUUACGUCCAGGGCUACACACGUGCUACAAUGGUCGGUACAACGGGCAGCUACACAGCGAUGUGAUGCUAAUCUCUAAAAACCGAUCUCAGUUCGGAUUGAAGUCUGCAACUCGACUUCAUGAAGCUGGAUUCGCUAGUAAUCGCGCAUCAGCAAUGGCGCGGUGAAUACGUUCCCGGGCCUUGUACACACCGCCCGUCAAACAAUGGAAGUUGAGGGUAUCUAAAGUCAGUAGCUGCAAGGCGCUGCCUAGGGUAAACUUGAUAACUGGUGUUAAGUCGUAACAAGGUAGCCGUACCGGAAGGUGCGGCUG